rnacentral:rRNA from 1 species
AUGUGGCGCGGCUGCGUCUCGCGCGGCCUCUCCAAGGCCAAGGCCUCCGCCUCCAGGCUCUUCUCCACGACCUCGUCUUCGUACACGGUGGUGGACCACUCGUAUGACGCGGUGGUGGUGGGCGCAGGAGGCGCAGGUCUCCGGGCGGCCAUCGGGCUCUCGGAGCACGGCUUCAACACCGCCUGCAUCACCAAGCUCUUCCCCACGCGGUCGCAUACCGUCGCAGCGCAGGGAGGCAUAAAUGCUGCUCUAGGAAACAUGAGCGAAGAUGACUGGAGGUGGCAUAUGUAUGAUACGGUCAAGGGAAGCGACUGGCUUGGUGAUCAAGAUUCUAUCCAAUAUAUGUGCAGAGAAGCACCAAAAGCUGUUAUAGAACUUGAAAAUUAUGGAUUGCCAUUUUCAAGAACUGAAGAUGGAAAGAUAUACCAACGUGCAUUUGGAGGCCAGAGUUUAGAUUUCGGGAAAGGUGGACAAGCCUACCGAUGUGCAUGUGCUGCUGACAGGACAGGGCAUGCUAUGCUCCACACGUUAUAUGGUCAAGCCAUGAAGCAUAACACUCAGUUUUUUGUAGAAUAUUUUGCACUAGACCUUCUCAUGGACAAUGAAGGCAACUGCCAGGGAGUCAUUGCCUUAAACAUGGAGGAUGGCACCCUUCACCGUUUCCGUGCAAAAAAUACAAUUCUAGCCACAGGGGGUUACGGCAGGGCCUACUUCUCAGCAACCUCAGCUCACACAUGUACUGGAGAUGGCAAUGCCAUGGUUGCACGUGCUGGUUUACCUCUUCAAGAUCUUGAGUUCGUCCAGUUCCAUCCUACAGGCAUAUAUGGUGCUGGAUGCCUCAUCACUGAAGGAUCCCGUGGUGAGGGUGGUAUUCUUAGGAACAGUGAAGGUGAGCGUUUCAUGGAACGAUAUGCUCCUACUGCGAAGGAUCUUGCUUCUCGUGAUGUUGUUUCAAGAUCCAUGACAAUGGAAAUUAGAGAAGGGCGUGGUGUUGGGCCAUUGAAGGAUCACAUCUAUUUGCAUCUUAACCACCUGCCUCCUAAAGUUCUCAAGGAAAGACUUCCUGGUAUAUCUGAAACUGCUGCUAUUUUUGCUGGUGUUGACGUCACCAAGGAGCCCAUUCCAGUUUUGCCUACCGUUCACUACAACAUGGGUGGGAUCCCAACAAACUACCAUGGGGAGGUUGUGGAUAUCAAGGGUGAUAAUCCAGAUACUGUUAUUCCUGGUUUAAUGGCUGCUGGAGAAGCAGCGUGCGCGUCUGUUCAUGGUGCAAAUCGUUUGGGUGCAAAUUCACUUCUUGACAUAGUUGUGUUUGGUAGAGCUUGUGCAAACAGGGUAGCUGAGAUUUCGAAACCAGGUGACAAGCAGAAACCUCUGGAAAAAGGUGCAGGGGAGAAGACUAUAGCAUGGUUGGACAAGCUGAGAAAUGCAAAUGGUUCAUUGCCAACUUCCAAGAUCCGUCUCAACACGCAACGUAUUAUGCAAAAUAAUGCUGCAGUUUUCCGUACACAAGAAACGCUUGAAGAAGGUUGUCAACUGAUCAGCAAAGCAUGGGAAAGUUAUCAUGACGUGAAGAUCAGUGACCAAAGCCUCAUAUGGAAUUCAGACUUGAUAGAAACCAUAGAGCUAGAAAAUCUGUUGAUAAAUGCAUGCAUAACUAUGUAUUCAGCAGAGGCUCGGAAGGAAAGCAGAGGAGCUCAUGCUCGUGAAGAUUUCACGACAAGAGACGAUGAGCGUUGGAUGAAGCACUCACUGGGGUACUGGGAGAAUGAGAAGGUACGAUUGGCAUACAGGCCAGUCCAUAUGAACACAUUGGAUGAUGAAAUCGAGUCGUUCCCACCGAAAGCACGAGUAUACUGA